rnacentral:sRNA from 1 species
AAAUGCUGACUGAGCUUGAGGGAAACAUUGGUUAUGUUAUGAAAAUGUUUUGUUAUUGAUGUACAGUGUUACAUGUUAUAUAUGGUAUUUCUACAAAUGAUAAAAUAUGCGGACUAUUUUCUGUGCCAAAAUCAGCAAAAGAGUAAAUGUUAACGAGGAGCUCGACCAGACAAGUGAACCGGCUGAUGUAUUGGGAUGCUCCUCUUGUGUCUCCUGUUUGUAGAUCCCCAUACUCUCCGGAAAUCCGAAUUCAUAAUCUCCACAGUAGCCGUCCAGAAUCGGCUUGGCGGGAAUUCCCCGUCUACGGAAGAGAGGUAGUACAAUAAGUCCUCAAAAAUGUGUACACAAUGUCUAUUGAGGAACUUUGACCAUCUCAUUUGAAUGAAUUUUGUCAUUGAGAUAUCUGUUAAAUUCUGCUCGGAAAAAUAAUUCGAAACUAUGCAGUUUUCUAUUAAAAACCUACAAAAUUAGCUGCUCACAAUGGUCAUCCAUUGAUGAAAAAGACUUUUAAUUUCUUACCUCACCAUUCGACAUCUCUGCUGAUCCAACCUGAAUUUCGCGCUUUCCACGUCUGUGACGUCACGGCUACUCCACAAUCGUUCUGCUACAGCCGACGCACGUGGCCUUGGUUAAAAAUAAUUACAUAAAACUACUGUUGUGACCAAUUACUUAUCGUGGACAGGUUUCUUCACAUUCCAGUAUUUAAUAAGUGCAGGAUAUGUUAAAGAUAAACAUUGUGGUGUUUACCAGAGGGUGGACAGGAUGUUGGUGCCGUCGAUGUACUCCGCCCACACACACGCCUCUCCACCAAUCACAUUGCUGUGUUGAUCAGCGCUACCUGAGUACAAUGUAUUUUAUUAAAACGCAUUUUAAUGAUUGCAGAAAAAGAGCAUCGGAUUGGUCGAAGCAGUCACGUAAGAUAUGAUUUUCUUUUCCGGGGGGGGGGGGUAUUUCUUCAAGUAGACAUCUACUUCCUUUUUAGUGAUGUAGGAAAUACACUUACGACCAUUGUGGAUAUCAUGCCAUUAAAACAAUACGUUUUACCAGUAACGUCUCAUCACAUUCACCUGUAAAGUUUUGGGGUUCGCACUGGUAGUACUUUCUCCAGUCCUGACCGUAGCUGAUAUAGUUGAGGUACCAGCAGGAGGAGAGAAUGGUCUUGUAGCCCUGACUGGCGAUCCGGGUCAUGUAGUGCUGCCAGGGGACGGUGGAGUUUCCCCGCCACACUUCAACAAUAGUGUCAGGCUUAGCCUGUAAAACAGCAGUUACGUAAACCUCAAAUUUCUGGCAAGUAGCAUGCAUCGUUUUUCUCUUUUUAUAAAGUGGAAGACCAGUUUCUUUUAAUGCUUUUUUUUUUAAAUUAGGACUAAAGGAAAAACGUUUCGCCAAAAAGUGAAAGAAGCAGCGCACAUCCCUCUUGCCCCCUCCCUUAAGUUACUCAUGUAUAUAUGUAUUUGCAGCCUUUAGUUUUAGUGACGAGAAAUAUACUUAGUUCAAUCGAAUAGAUAGUUAAAUACGCUGGAUAAUCAAGAUAAUCAAUAAGAGCGUCAAUUCUCCAGACGUAAAUAAAGCAAUUUAAAAUUUGAAAAGAAUAUAAUUCAGAAUAAGCCACGAUUAAUUUUGCGACCGAAUUUAUUUGGAACAACCGUCUUCUGAAACGGGAAGUGACGCACAGUCAGCUGACCUUAGUCCCGUCUUCUAUGGGGUCCUGCCAGAUGACGUAGCUUUUGUUGGUCCUCUCCACGAUAUCAAGCACCUUGGUGACGUAUAACUCCAUCAGCUGGACGUACGUACUGAUGUUGUUCUCCUUCAUGAACGAUGUAAUGUUUGGACUCGAUUUCCUGGAAAACAAAUUGCGAUAUAAAACUAAAACUUAUGUU